UAGAUGUCAGAUAUUCAGGGAGGAACUGGCAGCUUGAGUUACAAGAGGAAAGAAAAGGGGAAAGAAAGAAAAUGACACAAGCACUCAUGCAACGAACACUACUAUCUUGCAAACAACUUAUUAUUCAUGAUGUGGCCUUGCGAUUUCUGCAUCCACACCCAAGCUCACAAGAACCACACAGGACAUGGCUUGGUUAGCCUCUAGAGAUGAACAUGCAACCAAUUUGAAAAUGGGAGGAUGCAAGAGCAUGCAAGCUCAACAACAAGACCACCACAUACACGAGAGAGGUGAAAACCAAGUCAGGUACCUUGUACACACAAGCAAUAACCUUAUCCCCCAACUAAAAAGAAAGGAAAGCAAAUAUAAUGAGUUGGAGUUGAGAUCG